rnacentral:rRNA from 1 species
GGAAUAUUGGACAAUGGGCGAAAGCCUGAUCCAGCCAUGCCGCGUGUGUGAAGAAGGUCUUCGGAUUGUAAAGCACUUUAAGUUGGGAGGAAGGGCAGUUACCUAAUACGUGACUGUCUUGACGUUACCGACAGAAUAAGCACCGGCUAACUCUGUGCCAGCAGCCGCGGUAAUACAGAGGGUGCAAGCGUUAAUCGGAAUUACUGGGCGUAAAGCGCGCGUAGGUGGUUUGUUAAGUUGAAUGUGAAAUCCCCGGGCUCAACCUGGGAACUGCAUCCAAAACUGGCAAGCUAGAGUAUGGUAGAGGGUAGUGGAAUUUCCUGUGUAGCGGUGAAAUGCGUAGAUAUAGGAAGGAACACCAGUGGCGAAGGCGACUACCUGGACUGAUACUGACACUGAGGUGCGAAAGCGUGGGGAGCAAACAGGAUUAGAUACCCCGG